rnacentral:misc_RNA from 1 species
UGGGAGACAAUAAGUUUGUUAUGAGAUUUCCAGAUCCUAAAAUGAUAGGGGAUCUUGGAUAUUUUAGACCUUUGGGCAUGAGAACAGCGAAAGCUCAGAUUACUAUUGAUCCUUGGACACCUGCUGUCAAUGCUAAAGGUUCCUUGCAAAAAGGAUGGUUCAGAAUCAGUGGCAUUCCUAUGGAACAAAGGUCUCUGGUGACAAUUGCUAAAGUUGGUGGGCUCGUGGGUAAGGUGAUUGAAAUUGAUGAAAGGACUAGACUUAGAAAUGAAUAUGUGAGAGCUAGAAUUGCUUGCAGGGAUGUCACGGCUGUUCCCGGUG